GGAGAGGUGGCAGAGUGGUUGAAUGCGGCAGUCUCGAAAACUGUUUUAGUCGUUAGGCUAACGGGGGUUCGAAUCCCCCCCUCUCCG
rnacentral:tRNA from 1 species